rnacentral:rRNA from 1 species
ACGAACGCUGGCGGCAAGUCUAAGGCAUGCAAGUCGAACGGUCAUAUCUGUUUAGCAAUAAAUAAAUUUGAUAGUGGCAAACGGGAGCGGAACACAUUGGUAACCUACCUCGAGCUCGUGAAUAACUCACCGAAAGGUGAAUUAAUACGCGAUAUGGAUGGGGGGACUUCGGUCAUUCCCAUUGAAAGUUUUAACGGCACGAGAGGGGCCUAUGGCCUAUCAGCUAGUUGGUGCGGGUAAAGGCCCACCAAGGCUAUGACGGGUACCGGGCGCGAGAGCGUGGCCCGGCUCACUGGGACUGAGACACGGCCCAGACACCUACGGGUGGCUGCAGUCAAGAAUAUUCCUCAAUGCACGAAAGUGUGAAGGAGCUAUGCCGCGUGCCAGACGAAGGCCUUCGGGUCGUAAAUGGCUUUUAUAAGGGACGAACAAAUGACGGUACCUUAUGAAUAAGGGGCUGCUAAUCACGU